rnacentral:misc_RNA from 1 species
GAAAUGCAGGUGCAGCUGGACUUUUCUCUGAGCUAUAAGCAUAUCUAUUUAGUCUGCCUAAAAACAGAUUAUUACCUUUGCUGCAGCUAACAUAAAGGAGAUUAGUUCUUGUGCUGACUGAUGCAGGAUUCACAGAGACAGCUUCGGCUGGCCUUUGUAAACUCGAUCUCAAAUCAAGUAAGACUACCCGCUGAACUUAA